CAGCUGAAGUUCUAACAAAAAAAUGAAGCAUUUACCGAUCCUUGCAUUGCUUGUUCUGUGCAUCGCCAUAAGCGAAUGUCACAUCCUCAAUUUUCGACGGGAAAUGGCCAAUUAUGAAUACAACGGACAUUUGCUGAAUCCGUACCAGGAUUUGUGGGGAGGAAAGCACGGUAAGCAUGGGCUACGCCGGUGGAGGAGACAUCACGGCUCCGAUGCCUUCGGAUACGCUCCAGGAUUUCUAGAAUAUCUCGGUCAAGGAUUCGGUGAUUACUAUCCGCAUCACCACCAUCAUAAAGGAAGGGGCUUGUGGCGCAAUAAACGUAGACAUGGCCGCCGACAUUGAUUUGGUUAUUGGUGAAAAGAGGUGCCGUUUAAGGAAUCAAUUAUGAACGAAAAAAGCAUGAACGAUGAUUUAGAAUAAAUAUUGCAUAUUAAACACCUGC
rnacentral:lncRNA from 1 species